UUUAAUACGUAUAACGAUGGCCACGAGAUCAUUUUCGAAAUUGGACGUUACCUGCAGUUUGCGAUUGGCGCGAAUGCCAAGAACGUCAACUGGCUGCUGUGGUUGCUCAACUCUUGGCACAGACUCCCCAUGAGGCCUGCAUAAAAUGGUUCACAUGAAAAUAAUAUUGUUAUCCCGUGAGUUCAGUCGCAGAAGGAACCAUUAUGAUCUUAUACUGACUGGCUAUCGCCGCCCUUGAACCGUGGUACGCGUCGCGACUCGACACAAUUGGUGUAACACCGACAAUGUGUGCUCGUUCGCGAUACAAAAUCAGCGGCAGGAACGCUAAAACCGUCUGCGGGAAGAAAAAGUGAAUCAGAAACGAGAACCGGGGAUGUCGGGAUACCAGAGAUCAAUCGAUGCGCGAUUCAUAUCUUUAAAUUCGUCCUCUAUGGUCAAAAUGAAGGGCGAACGUUACCCAGAAAUGACUCAUCAAAGUUCUGCUGGCUGUAUCGAAGAUGUCUUGAUCCAGGUUGCCCACGCAAGUCACCAGAACGUCGACUCGUCCAACCUCGUCCUUGAUCUUCUGCGCUGUACUCCGUAUCUGUUCUCUGUCCGAUAAGUCGCACUCGUAAGCGAGUUUUCUCGUUUUCAGCCUCUGCGAAUCGUCUUUGUCAUGGUUCGGCUUAACUUCUUCGACCAUAGGGUAACGUCCUUUCAAGCCGGCGGCUAUUCUUUCGAUCGACUCCGAAUCGUGGUCCACGCAGAUGACGGAACAUCCACAUUUAGCAAAUUCUUCGGCGAGAGAUUCACCCAGAGCCGACGCAGCGCCGGCUACCUAAACAAGAGAAAGAAACGUGUUCUGCAGAUCAGUCGUAUAACCCGUUAGCUAAACUUGAGCCAGACGUCGUUAUCGUUAUAAACGUUUACCAGGACUACAUCACCGGUCAUAUCCCUGGGCGGUUUGGGUAGCAACGAUUUCACGAUCUCGAGAAUGCCUAGAAAACCUGACAGAAGCGCGCCAAUCAGAAAUUCAACGAUGAGGAACAGCCAGACAACCGACGAAGGGCUACCGAGUCUCGAGUUUGUCACCGAAGCUUCGUCUAUCGUGACGAACAUUCUUUCACUGAAAAUAAAGUUUUUAUCAGCGUGUAUCGCUAAUAUUUCCAGAAAAAUAAUAAUGCUGGAUAAUAAUGGGAAGUUGAAACCAUAGAAAGAUGUAUUAAAGUUACAAAGUCGUUGUAACCUUCUACUGGUAAUUAAAAUGGGAACUUAUUUGUGGCGAUUCGAUCACGUUCGAAUAACUCAUUUAAUUGCUUUAAGGAGUUAUUACCAGGCAGUUAAAGGUGACGGAAAAACUGUUAUACUAAUGCAUUUCAUAAGUCGCCACAUUAAAUGGCAAACAACUUUAUAUAACAUAAUUCAACAGAAAUAUGUAUACUUCUCAUGUAUGUGUCGUUUAAUGUGACACAAAAACUGUUGUACUGAUGCAUUGUUACGAGUCAUUACAUUAAAUGAAACAUGUUUCCCCGAAUUAAUUGCGCGCUGAGAAGAUACGAGCUAUGAGUAACGAUUAUACUUUACAGGAUUUUGAUGCUCAGUAGGUGAUUCAAACAGUCUUUCGAAAUCAGGAAGAAAUAUCACGCUAGAGGAAUAUAUUUAGCGAAUCAUAUAGCAUUCCGAUAGCCAAGAAUCGUUUCCUAAUCGAGUUGGGUCGACUAAGCUCUCUUCUAUACUUCUGAGACAGUUUAUGCUCUAUGAAAACGGAUAUUACUUUGAUUAAAGUAACGAUAACGAGCUAAAUUUGCAUUCGACAUUCGGUGCAACAGCCUCCGAUGUAGCGAACAGCUUUGCGCCCUUGGUGUCAACGACUGAGAAAUGGAGUUGGCAGUACACACAUGUAAGUCAUAUAACUGUGUAGAUACGGGGAAGUUACUCGUGAACUUGCUACUCUUUCAUUAAACAUCCUCAAGGUAAACGUGUACGGCUCUCUUGCCUUGGCUGGGUAUGUGUUCGCAAUGCUCGAUUGACGAUAAUUGUUAAGGCGAUGGUACUCUAUUUUUAUAGACGUGAAUAUUGAUGAAUAUUUUACUCGAUCUACUAAUCGAUCUUCAUCCUUGGAUGAAAAUAUAAAAAAAUGCGAAGUGGAAAGAGAAAAAUCUAGUCGUUAAUGCGAAUAUCAAUUCGAUAGGCAGAAACAUCGAUAGCUAGAAAAAUGAAUGGAUAAUUAAGGCCUUCGGAUAGAUAGACCUGUUGGCUAACAAGAUAUAUAGUCGUGACAUAUCUAAAAAUUUAAUAUCAAUAUAUGAACUAGCAUAAUUGUAUUCCGACAAAAGAUAUAGACGUUAUUUAUGUCUACGACGGUGGUCAUUGCUCUAAGAGUUACGCAAGGUCUUCCCGAGGUUUCGAAGUUACUUGUUCAAUCAAAGUAUAAUUUUUAUCACAGGUUGACAUCAUUUAAUUUUAAAUUUCAUUUAGCUAAACGACAAAGCAUUCAUAUAUAUUUCUGCGUCCCGCUAUUUACCGGCGACAAUACCUUUAACCCUAAUCGUACUAUGUGUUUUUAUAAAAAAAUCAUACCACAAUGUGACUCUCAGUCAUUUAUGAGAAUAAAAGGAAUGAUUAAAAUGUUACUUAUUUUUGUUCACAGGGCCCAAAUUUUAA